AAAGAUUAAGCCAUGCAUGUCUAUGCACACGCCCUUGAAUGGUGAAGCCGCGAAAAGCUCAUUACAACAGCCAUAGUUUAUUGGAUGUUUACGUUCCUACAAGGACACCUGCGGUAAUUCUGGAGCUAAUACUUGCGAAAUGCGACAACCUCACGGGAGUCGUGCAUUUAUUAGAUUAAACCAAUCGGUCCUUCGGGACCGCCAUUUGGUGAACUCUGAAUAACUCAGCUGAUCGCACAGUCUCGUACUGGCGACAAAUCUUUCAAGUGUCUGCCUUAUCAACUUUCGAUGGUAGUUUAUACGACUACCAUGGUUGUAACGGGUAACGGAGAAUAAGGGUUCGACUCCGGAGAGGGAGCCUGAGAAACGGCUACCACAUCCAAGGAAGGCAGCAGGCGCGCAAAUUACCCACUCGCAGAACGCGGAGGUAGUGACGAAAAAUAACGAGGUGGCUCUCUAUGAGGUCCAUCAUCGGAAUGGGUACAAUUUAAAUCCUUUAACGAGGAUCUAUUGGAGGGCAAGUCUGGUGCCAGCAGCCGCGGUAAUUCCAGCUCCAAUAGCGUAUACUAAAGUUGUUGCGGUUAAAAAGCUCGUAGUUGGAUCUGCGCUCGGUGAAAGCGGUCGCCCGAUGGGUUGUUACUGCUUCUCCCGGGCUAACCAUUCGGUUUUCCCUUGAUGCUCUUAACUGAGUGUCCUGGGUGACCGGAACGUUUACUUUGGAAAAAUUAGAGUGCUCAAAGCAGGCGAUUUGCCAGAAUAUUCGUGCAUGGAAUAAUAAAAGAGGUCCUUGUAGCCUUUUAUUGGUUAUCGCUACGAGGAAAUGAUCGAAGGGGACAGACGGGGGCAUUUGUAUUGCGACGUUAGAGGUGAAAUUCUUGGAUCGUCGCAAGACAAACUACUGCGAAAGCAUUUGCCAAGAAUG
rnacentral:rRNA from 1 species